rnacentral:lncRNA from 1 species
UUUGGAUCAAACACGGCCUGGCUCUCGUUCUUCAAGCGUUCAUCUCCAGAAUUUGCAGAAAAUGAAGAACAACAAAUUCUCACCAAAUUCAACAAACUUAUAAUCAUUAGAACCGUCUUCCAACAAGGAUUAAGGAUAUGUAAACGAUUUCUCCUAAUUCUCAACAUAGCAACGGGAUCGAUCCAAAAAAGAAAUGCAUAUCAAACUUCAAAUUCA